rnacentral:ncRNA from 1 species
AUUAUCCACUAGGGGCGCCUUUGGCUGAGAUAGAUGAAAAUCUAGUCCCUUAGAACCUGAUUUGGUUAGUACCAACGUAGGGAAGUGGCAACGUACAAAA